rnacentral:rRNA from 1 species
GACGGAGGGCGCGAGCGUUGUUCGGAAUUACUGGGCGUAAAGCGCGCGUAGGCGGCCAUUUAAGCUAGAUGUGAAAGCCCAGGGCUUAACCUUGGAAUUGCAUUUAGAACUGGAUGGCUAGAGUACGGUAGAGGGUAGUGGAAUUUCCUGUGUAGCGGUGAAAUGCGUAGAUAUAGGAAGGAACACCAGUGGCGAAGGCGGCGCCCUGGCCUUAGACUGACGCUGAGGCACGAAAGCGUGGGGAGCAAACAGG